CAGGACUUAUAAAGGACCGGAGAUGUCGGGAGGACAGUGCAAGUUUCCCUGCAAGGAGAAAAACAACAACAAGAAGAAGAAAUGGAUGCUGAGAGGAGCAUCAGAGCAGCCAGGCUGAACAGAAAGAUCCAGCGGCUGCAAGAAAGAGUCGACAUGAUGCUGAAAACCUGGAGGAGAGGAAAUCUGGAAGGCUGCAAGUCUGGAAGUCUGGAAGGCUGCAAGUCUGGAAGUCUGGAAGGCUGCAAGUCUGGAAGUCUGCAAGCUGCAAACUCUGGAGCUGCGAUGGAGGAACCAGAGAAGGACGAUCUUUUAUAGCAUAAAAAUAGGAAGCUGUGUUGUCAUUGGACACGUCUGCAGUGGAAACAACGAUUUUCAGAUUCUCACCCUUGCCACUUUCUGUCGGAGUUCCUCAGAGUUUGGGUCGAUGCACCUCCAUGUUCCUCUCUGGCUCU